UUCGGCGGCGGCACCAGACUGGAUGUUGGCAGCGUCACUCCUCCUAAACUGAGCGUCCUGACCCCGUCCAGAGCAGAGAUUUCCUCAAAGAGCACAGCGACACUGGUGUGUGUGGCCAGCGGGGGCUUCCCGUCAGACUGGAGCUUGAGCUGGAUGGUGGACGGCAGCAGCAGCAGGUCUCAGGACAGCAGCGCUGGGCUCCUGCAGGAGGACGGUCUGUACAGCUGGAGCAGCAGCCUGACUCUCUCUGAGCAGCAGUGGAUGGAGAGCGUCUCAGUGAGCUGUGAGGCCACACGCAGCGGCCAGCCUGCCGUCACUCGACAACUGUCCAGAGAUCAGUGCUCACAGUAGACCUGCUGCAGCCUCCCUCAUCUCACUUCUGCUUCUCUGAUUUCAUUCAUUCAAGAGAUGCUAUGAUUUUUCUCUUUUAUCUGAAAUAAAAGCUUUUAUCUUUGAUUC